rnacentral:lncRNA from 1 species
UCGGUUCGUCCCCUGUUGCUUUUUCCCUCCAACGCCAAAAGGAAAUUGUCUCCCUACUUUCUCAGUGAAUUACAAAUCUCUUGAUCCAAGCAAUUCUGAUUCAGAAGCACUACGCUGAUCGUUCAUACAAAUUUUACUUCACAUGAAAUCUUGAUUUGAUCCACAGGUAUGUAAUGUUUGAAUUCAUAUACCAUUGACUUACUUAGAGGAACCGAUCGCGCAUCUUUCAAGAAUUUUCGAUCCAAAGUUUUCUGCUAUAUUUUUCGGCCACCAUCUCCCACAGUUGUUUUCAGUUUUGAAUUUAGGGUUUAUCACUGAUCACUAUUUUUCAUAUAGUCCUGGAUUUAGGGUUUAUUGUUGGUUAAGGAUUUAGGGUUGAUUUUUGAUCGAGAAUUUUUUCCUUUUGAUUGCAUAUAUAUCAGUUGGAUGUAGAGCUGUAUAUUCCACCUAUGAACACUUUGGAACUAAAUAUGUUAUCGUGUAGAUGAUGGAAACUAAGAAGAUUUACAAUUCAGAUAUCAUCUCUUGACCAUAUCAGUUAUAUCAUUGUAAUUGAUGUGAUUACAAGAUUAUGUAUAUGUGAUUGUUGUUCAAACAUGUUUUUAUUGCUAUGAUUAAGUAGGCAUCUUAAAUGUUAAUAGUUAAUAUAUUUGAUUAUAUCCAUAGGUAACGUAGAACCCCUUUUGGCUCUAGGGUAAUGCUGCUGAUUGAAUUCUGUAAAAUGGACCACUUUUAUGUUUUGAGGCCGAAUCUUUCAUCAAGGACAAGUAGACACUUGCUCCACCAUAGGGCAGAUAUAUGGAUUCUAACAUCUUCCUGAAUCAAAUGCUUCACAUGAAUGAUGAAUCUACUUAAGUCCUAUACUCAAGUCUCAAACAUACAACUAUUAGGAAGCCAUGGUCAAAAGUUUUAGAAAUUUAAGCAUAAAUGAGCUACCGAUUGUGUGGUAAAAGUGUAACACACAUAUGGUUUUGUAAAAAAAGAAAAAACAAAUUGCUCUCGUUGAGAGUCGAACUCAAGACCUCCCGCUUACUAAACGGGUGCUCUAACCAACUGAGCUACGAGAGCUUUUUGCUUUACUAUAUUACACCAAUUUUUCUAGUAAUUAGAUAUGGAGUAAAUUACAUUUUGGUCCCUGUGCUUUGUUAAAUUUAUGGUUUUGGUCCAAAAAAGAAACCUUUCUUCCUUUUGGUAAUGUAUUUCACCGUUUCAUAACAUUUUGGCUUACUAGGGCAUUUUGGUCUUUUCCUUGUGUUCUCUUUUCAAGAUUUCCUAUGUGGACUUAAAUAAGGUAUUUGUUAAUAUGUUCUUCCAUGUCUUUAUCUUCUUUCGUCUCCUCAGUAAUAAUGGCCACAUGUUCAUGUGAAAGAAGUAUCUGGUGAUAAAAAAUAUAUAGUAUAUGGUUUUGAAAAAAGAAAAGAAAAAAAAACAAUUUGCUCUCAUUGAGAGUCGAACUCAAGACCUCCCGCUUACUAAACGGGUGCUCUAACCAACUGAGCUAUGAGAGCUUCUUGCUUUACUAUUUGGGAUACAACAUUUUUUUUUUAUAAUAAGUAAUUAGAUAAUAUGGAUGCAUUUGUUUCAUGGUUUUUAAUUUUUAGCUUCAUAUGACACUCUGCCUAUUGUGAAAUUAAACUUAGCAAUGUCACUUCAAAAGAAACCUAAGGAUGCUGAUUCUUGCAUAUGUUUUGAGACUCUACAUGUAUUUAAGAAUGUUUGUUUAUGUCUUAAUUCUCAUUCAAUUCAAUUCAAUUCAAUUCUUGAGCAUAUAUAUAUGAGCCACAGGUUGUGUGGGGAAAAAGAUAAGGUUUUGUAAAUAAGAAUUAAAAAAAGAAAAAACAAAUUGCUCUCGUUGAGAGUCGAACUCAAGACCUCCCGCUUACUAAACGGGUGCUCUAACCAACUGAGCUACGAGAGCUACUUGCUUUUCUUAUUUUACAACAUUUCUUAUAGUAAAGGGUUAAAGUUGAAAUGCUUAACCAACUAAUUGAUUUGUCCCAAAUUGGUUGCUAAAUGUUUCUUUCAAGCAUUUAGGGUCCUUAUACAUCAAUUUUUUUUGCACCAUUUUAACAAUCUAUAUGCAGUUUGCAACAUUGCCAAAGUGGAUAAAAAGAGCCUAGGAUAAAGUGGCAUUGAUGGGUUUUCAAGCAAUGUUAGAAGGUGGAAAUUUGUAAUGAAAGUUGAAACUUCAGCAUAUAUGAGCCACUGGUUGUGUGAGAAAGAGAUAAGGCUUUUUAAAAGGAAAAAAAAAAGAGAGACAAAUUUGCUCUCGUUGAGAGUCGAACUCAAGACCUCCCGCUUACUAAACGGGUGCUCUAACCAACUGAGCUACGAGAGCUUCUUGCCUUAAUAUUUCACAACAUUUUUCUUUAAGAAGCGUUGGAAACCUUAGAGCAUAGAUGAGCCACCAGUUGGGUGGAAAACAGAUAUGGUUAUGUAAACAAAGAAUAAUUAUUUUAUUCAUAUUCUAUAGAUUAUCCUUUUCUACUUAAUAGGUUUACAUAACUAUUCUACGAUUUAAAUGCCAUUUGUUUUGUAAUAAUAACAUUUAUAGCCACGUGACAAUGUAAUAUUUAUAAAUAAUCUAAUACGAAGUUGGAACGGAAUGAGAAGAACAAUUGAUGCCCUUCAAUGAUAAUUCUUAAAUUUUUUUAUCAAAUCCCAAAAUAUAAAAACUCAAAAGGCAAGUUUGGUAUAAAUACGUCAAAACAUUUUCCGGCAGUUGUAUCAAAGGAAUGAGAAUCAUAGAAAAUUGAGUGAAUAUGUUUUGAGAACAAUCGUAUUUUACUAUCUUUUGGUUUUUAUUUAUGUUUGGGGGUAAAUAAACAUUAAAGGAAUAUUUAAUAAUAUUUAGUAAGGGAAAAUAGUAUUUUACUUCAGACAUAACUAUAAUGAAAGAAAAAUACGAGUUGGAUUUAAGGACCAAAUGCGUAAUAUUUACCAAAUCACAAGACGAUUUCAUUAAUUUACUCUUUAGUGUUUUCUACAUUUUUGUUUGUUUUCUUUUUUCCUUUGGAAUCAUAAUUAUAAUUUAUAAGCACUCUAGAAAUACAUUUUUGCAUAAUUUCCGAACAUCUCCAACAUAUUUUUAUUCAUACAAAUUAAGCUGCAAAACUUUUAGCUAUGGAAAAUGAUGAGACAGAAUAAGUUGGUGAGACAAUGUACGUCAUUAGUGACGAGUCUAGAAUAGAAAACAACAUGAUUCACAAAUUUUUCAAUAUACAUUUUUCUGCACAAAUUCAAAAAAAUUAUAGGUAAGCUAGGUCAUAAUUUUUUUUUAAGAUAAGUCCCUAAAAAUUUUCAAUAAUAAUUUUAUAUAAAUUAAAAUAAUUAGGUGGGUCCUAGGACCCACCUUCAUUAUACCUAGCCUCACCACUGUAUGUUAUCAUAGGUCUAAAUGAUUAUAAAUGAUGGUUAUUAGGGUAUUUCAUCAAUAUAACUAAUCAUACUGAUGCAUCAUAUACAAGUAUUGCAUGUCAGGGGUACAAGUUUGAUGACAUUAUCAUUAAUAUGAUCUGAGGCUUGGUAACAUCAUUGCCAAAAUGAUUUUAUAGUCUUAAAAUUGGACGAAGUUCACAAGGUUUUUGGGAAACUGGUCAAUUAACAAACCAGAUAGCUAUGCGAUGAUGUAAAUUCUAUCACUAGAUCAUGGAAUAAGUAGUUUCAGAGUGAUUAUUAUUAUUAACCAUGCUAUUGUUUUUACUCAGUUAACCAUUUUUUACUCAGCUAUGCUAUUGUUUUGGAAAUUGGAGGAUGAAGUACAUUGCUCAAAUAAGCAAAAUGAGGAUUUCGGGGUCGUGUGAUGACCUUACAGGGUCACGUAAGUUCCACAGAGUAGCUAAACAUGUGCGUGUGAAAUCUGAUUAAAUGAAGUAGAAUAUGAUGCCAUUAAAUAAAUGUACUUUUUGGAGAAAAAGGUGGAACAUGGGUCAUGUCUUAUGGAACAUGGUUGUGUCCUAUGUUUUAAGUCCAUAAAAGAGUAUAUAACAUGUCCCCAGUCAAUCCUUACUCCUUAUUAAAAAAAAUAUCAUUAUGCCAUAAUGUAAGUUGGGUUUAUAGUCUUGAUGAAGUCAUGUUAGAUCAUGUUCUUAACCAUGUUAACUUUUUUACUCACUUAACCAUUUUUAACUUAUAGAUUUAAGAUAUAAUGGAUUAAUGGGAGUGUUUAGGAUCGACUUUUCAAAUCUUAUAUCUAUUUGAUUAACGUCACGUAUAAUUUUGUUAGUUUAGAUUUUUCCUCUAAAAGUAGCUGUUUUAUGCCAACUUCUUAUUUGUUUAUUUUUUUUUUCAUACUUUUAUGAAAAAAGAUACAGUUUGUCCUUUAAAAACAAUAAUUCGUUACAUAUUGUUUUCCCUCUAAAACAAAUAGGGAAUUGUUUUUCUAAUUUUACAAAUCUCUUUUAAUCCUAACAAUUGUAAUUUAGAAACUCCUUAUGGAUCAUUUAUACAACUGUUCUUUAUAUCCAUCUUGAUUUGGUUGACAACUAUUAUGACGAUGUUAAGAAGAACUGCAUGCCCAACUUGAUCAAAAUGAGAAGAAAGUUGGCUUCUUUUUGCAAUGCUGGACAAACCCAUAUCAUCUUUGAUAGGGUUGCAAUUGUAGUUAUUGUAAUUAUUCAAGAAUCUCUGUGUUGUGGUGAUUUUUAUUCCAAUUCGAAGUUCAUAAGCACCACUACAAGGAGAAAACUAAUAAAUGAGUAGGUUUCACCAUUUAGUUGUGGUUGGUGUUCAUCUUGUGAAUAUUAAAAGUAAUCCGGGUUCAAAAGUGUUGAAAUCUUGAGCAUAGAUGAAUCAGUGGCUGUGUGACAAAUAAAUAAGGUUUUGUAAAUAAGAUUUUUUUUUUCUCGCAAAAAAUCCUAAAAUUUUGGCCUACUUUACGUUUAGUCCCAAUUUUUUAUGAAAGAAUCUAGAAAACCGGCUAACAUUUUUAGUUUAAUCCCUUUUACAUUUUCAAAACGCAACCUGCUAAGUGGAAAUGUGGUUGAUAUUUUUUAUUUUUAAUAGAAAAGCCCCAACUGUUUGGGCCAGUUUACGUUUAAGUCCCAAAUUACUUUUUUACGAAAAAGUCUUGAAAACCGGCUAAAAUUUCCAGUUUAAUCAUUUUUUACAUUUUUAGUUUAACUUGUUGAGGCAGUGUGCCAAGGUUUGUGGUUGAUAUGACAUGACGUGACAGCUGACAUGACAUGCCACGUCAGCGCCAUUGCUUACUUUAAAAAAUCAGUUUUAUUUUGGGAGAAAAGAAGGGGAGGGGGACUCGAACCUGUGANAACUAGCAUGAUUCAACUUGUCUCCCCCCCCCCCCCCCCCCCCCCCCCCCCAAAAAAAAAAAUGAUAUUUUUAAGUAAGGAAGGAUGCUAACGUAACAUGCUACAUCAGCUGCCAUGUCAAGCCACCUCAACCAUCCUUUCUCCUUAGCAUGCCACCUCAGCAUGUUAAAUUGAAAUGUAAAAAAGGGUUAAACUGAAAAUGUUAACCCGUUUUUCAGGAUAUUAUCUUAAAAAAAAUAAAUUGUGACUAAAACGUAAAAUGGUCCAAAAUUUUGGAACUUUUCUACAAAAAAACAUCAACCACCUUUCCACCUUGGCUCCUCACCUCAACAGGUUACUUGAUGAAAAGGUAAAAAAUGAUUAAAAUGAAAUGUUAGCUAGUUUUCAUGACUUUCUCAUAAAAAAAUAAUAUGAGACUAAAACGUAAGGUGGACCAAAAUUUUGGGACUUUUUUUUACAAAAAGUCUAAGAAAAGGAUAACUGUUUGCACUUGCUAAAGAGAUGGAAAUGGAAGAGCAUAGAGGAAAUGGAAGCAAACAAUAUUUAAAAAGAGCAUAUAAUGCUUACUGAUAUAUGUUUUAAAAAUCAUAAUCAAUAUGUUUUGCAUUGAGAGUCGAAAUGGUAGUAAACAAUAUCUAAAAAGGCAUAAAAUUGCUUAUAUGUGUUUUAUUUAAACAUUUUUUUUAUAAAAGCUAGCUAGUGUGACAUCCUCUAAUUUUUGGAACCAAAAAUAAUUUUUUUUAUGCUUUGGAAAUCAUGAUACUUUAUUUGUGGAAAAUUUUCAGUAUAUUAAAAAUAUUUUGAGUAUAAAAUUGUCUUAAAUAAAAUUAUAAGGAUGUCAUAAUUAAUACAUAUACAUAAGUUACAGUGUAAAGACAUAAUGGUCCUGAACACCAUUGCAAACUUUCUCUUAAUCACUCAAAAUCCUAAUCAAGUUCUAGUGGCUUGAGUCUUGAUACCUAUGAUGCAUACAAACUGAGUGAGUCAGGUUGUGAAACUUGGUGAGAAACAUAGGGAUUUUAAUCUCAAAAUGUUAUUUUAUAUAUAUACUAGUUUAUAACCCAUGGAAACCACGGUUACAAAAUUAAUUAAAUUUUAUAGUAAAAACUUAAAAUUAUUAAUUAAUUAUUUUAAAUAAAUUAUUAAUUAAGAUUUUUUUUAGUUAUAUAAAUUUUAGUCAUUGAUUUAAAUAAAUAUGUGAAAUUAUAUCAUUUNNNNNNNNNNNNNNNNNNNNNNNNNNNNNNNNNNNNNNNNNNNNNNNNNNNNNNNNNNNNNNNNNNNNNNNNNNNNNNNNNNNNNNNNNNNNNNNNNNNNNNNNNNNNNNNNNNNNNNNNNNNNNNNNNNNNNNNNNNNNNNNNNNNNNNNNNNNNNNNNNNNNNNNNNNNNNNNNNNNNNNNNNNNNNNNNUCUUAACCCUACAAAACCAACUAAUACUAAACAACAUAUAUAAAUAAUUCCGAUUUGGAUAUUUAUAAAACCUCAUACCCAUACAUACCCACCCUAAUCGAUCCUCACAGAUCCUAUUCCAUAAUUAUCAGGAAGAUAAACCAUUUAGAAAGGACUUGACUAUAUCGCUAGGGGUUUCCUUGGCUAGAAAAAGUCAUAAAGGCACUCGUGCCAUCAAAGUAUCUGAAGAAUAUGGUAUCCCAUUUCAUCUACGUCUGUAGGUUAUAAAACCACACUAGCAACGUAAUUCAUAAGACCAUCUAGAAUGAUCAAGUGUUGUCAUCUUACUAUAAGAGAUGACCAGGCAUAUCAUUACAGUUGCCUGAUCUGGACCCACCAUUUAUGGUCAUCCAAAAAGGAAUACAAUUUGUACUCCAAUAUGUAUUUUUGUACCAUCAAAUCUGAAAGUGUCAAGGAACAGAACUCUACUCUCCAUUCCUAACUUACACACAUGCCUUGAAUAAGACUACCCGAUAUCAAACAUAAUUGAACUAGGUAUCUAUAAUAAGUCCUACCUUAUUCACGAAUAAUUAGGUAUUAAUAUACUUUUAUCCCUUUCCUUUAAUAAUACUUCUAUUAUUAUUAUCAUGUAAUAAAAGAUAUAUAUCUCUUAACAUAUUUAGAACCAUAUCUCGUUCGCAUAUCAUAUAUCAUCAAAUACAUUUCUAACACAUAAUCCAGACAAUAAACAUAUAUCUCACAUAUAAACUUUUCAAUAUAUAUUUAAUACUUUAAUUAAUACUUGUAUUAAAACCAUGUUCAUGAAAGGGACUAUGCAUUCACCUAACUUAUGUGGGUGACUGGAGAAUUCUGCAGUGCUUCACCAAACACUUUGACUUUUCCUUUGACGUGACCUAAGUACGAUUUAUACUGAGUAUUACUCAUGGUGACUAAUGAUAGUCUGUAACAUCCAAAUUUCCAAACCAAUUUUUUCGUUUUUAAAUUCAUAUAAAAACAUUGUUCAUAAAAAACAUCUCAAGAAAAUAAAAAAUGUCAAAUACAGAUCAUCAUCAAAAUAUUAGAGUGUCCCAAAAUAUCUGAAAUCAUAAACUGCCUGAAGCUUAGUAAGUUCCCUAAAAUACCACAUACAACACAACACAAAAUAAACAGAUAUAUGUUAUCAGCAACCAUGGAGACUACCCGAAGUCUCAUCGCACACAAUAACACAUAUCACAGUAAUAACACAUAGAUUCAACUGGUCAUCACAUAUAUAAAUAUAUUCUACCACAUAAGUAAGAAUGGUGAUAAGACUCACCUUGCGUACAUGACUGAUAGAACUCAUACCCGAACUGCCAGAACUAGACUCCGCCUAUUAAUUACACCAAUUAACCCUAAUUAAUAAUUAGGUAAUUUUCCAUACUCCACUAAUCCCAAGCCAAAUCUAAUUCACGUUUAGGGCAAAAGACCAUUUUGCCUAUUCCAAACCGAAAACCCUCACCAAUCCACCUAAGGCACAAUUGGUCAAAAAGUCAAAUGAAAGUCAAAGGUCAACACUCUGACCGUUACACGUUGUAUACUUAGCUCUACACUGGGCGUAGAGCGCAAGGUAGGAAAGGAUUAGGUUUGCAACUGGCUACGUUAACUCUCAGGAUUCGAGAAGGACUAGGCAGGCUCUUUAGGGCGAUUAUCCUCUUCCUUAGACAUAAAGUUAGACCCACUAGGUAAAUAAAGGAAUUACCAAGGUAAGACACAUAUCGCAAUAUUACAUCUACAGGCGGCCACGGGUCAUAACGCACUCUUCGCACAACAAAUCCAGGACAAAUCCCAUUUGAAAUGGAUGGUGUGAGUUUGUCAAAUGCUCGACAAGCCGCUAGCUUGAGAUUGAAUUCUUCCUAACAUACGACUGUCUUUCAUAAGAACAGGAAAGUGUAGCCAGAGUUACGCUUGGCGUACACGACUUAUCUCAAAACUUAACUUUUAAGGUCUUAAUCAUUAAGACACUUUACCCCAACCUCAUAUCUGACCUUAAAAGAUAUCCUAAUCCAUAAAGCCUCUGACUUUAUGCCUUUGCAUGGUUAAAGAAAUGUAACACCCAAAAUCUGGAAGGCCAAGAAAGGAAAGAAAACCCUAAUUUUUAGGGGCAACUCGGCGAGUCCAAGGAGGAACUCGGCGAGUCCGAGCGGGAUCCGGGUCGAGGAGUAAGUGACCAACUUGGCGAGUCAGCCAAGUGGACUCGGCGAGUCUGGUCUGUGCGAGGAAAACCCUAAAUUCGGGACUUGGAGCCUAUUUAAACGUCUCAUUCUCUCCCCUAGGGUUCCUUUACUGCCUCUCUCACCCAGAAAGCGAACCCUAAGCCUCCAUUGUUGUGCAUUUAAGCUUCCAAGCCAUUUUUGGGUGAUUUGAAGGAAGAAGAAAGAGGGGAAUCAGUGAAGCUUCAAGGAUUGGCUUCAGAUCUGGAGUUUGUGGAGCCUUUCUGAGGUAUUGAAGGUAUUAAGUCAUUUCCUUCCUUUAGAUCUUCUAGGGUUGUGAGAUUUGGGGCCUUUUAAGCCAUGAUUAGUUGUCCAUUUGAGUUAGAAGCCGGAUCUGGAGUUGCUACUUCAGAUCUAAGCCGAUUUUGGUUUUGGGAAGCAUAAAGUUUCAGCCCUUGAGUUGAUUAUGGAGCCUCCUUGCCUUAAACCCUAGUUUAUGGUGUAUUUUGCCUAGAUCUCCUUCUCUACACGUAAAGUUUGCAACUUUACAUGAGGAAUGGGCUUGGGAAUGGUAGAUCUAGUCCAUGCAUGACUCAAAAGUCCUCUGCAUGUAUAGAGAUCUGAAUGGACUCGACGAGUCCUUUGAGUGGACUCGGCGAGUAGCAUGGAGACGAGGAGGAACUCGAUGAGUGGGAUGAACAACUCGUCGAGUCAGAUGAAGUUGGGUAGGAACUCGGCGAGUUGGAUGAACAACUCGACGAGUCUGUUGAAGGUUGUCUUGGACUCGGCGAAUAUGUUCUUGGACUCGGCGAGUCAGGUCGCGAAACCCCAAACCCUUCGAGUUGAGACUCGAAUCAGUGAGUCGAAUGGAGACUCGGUGAGUUGGACAGGUCAGGACUCGGAAAUCGGUAGACUCGGCGAGUCAUGGACUGACUCGGCGAGUCGAGUCGCGAAUAGAAGGACUCUGAACAUAUGAACUCGGCGAGUCAAUAGGGUGACUCGGCGAGUAGGGUUGACCUGGAAGGUUGACUUUGAUCAGGACUUUGACUUUGACCAGAGUUGACUUGGUUGUCUUUCGGGGGUCAGUUAGACUCAGUGUUGCAUUGAUAUUGGUAGCUCGGGGAGCGAGUGGAGCAGGAGUUCAGAGAGUUGUCGGGCAGCAGCUAGUGGGUUCAUCAGCCAGUUCAGCCAGUGCAGGUGAGUUUCCCUUUGUAUGAAUGGGUCUACGGCCACAAUGCCGGCCCAUGUAGUUAUGAGUAGAAGACCCGGGGGUUAGCCCUAGGCACAGUAUGCUAGUAUGAUAUUCGGGACGAGGUCCAAUGAUAGAGGGCGGGUGCCCAAGGAAUGGUUUAUGUGAUAGUUUAUACUUGUUGUCUGUGUGAUACUUGUAUGUGCCUGGUAGGGAGGUGAGUGUGGGNNNNNNNNNNNNNNNNNNNNNNNNNNNNNNNNNNNNNNNNNNNNNNNNNNNNNNNNNNNNNNNNNNNNNNNNNNNNNNNNNNNNNNNNNNNNNNNNNNNNNNNNNNNNNNNNNNNNNNNNNNNNNNNNNNNNNNNNNNNNNNNNNNNNNNNNNNNNNNNNNNNNNNNNNNNNNNNNNNNNNNNNNNNNNNNNNNNNNNNNNNNNNNNNNNNNNNNNNNNNNNNNNNNNNNNNNNNNNNNNNNNNNNNNNNNNNNNNNNNNNNNNNNNNNNNNNNNNNNNNNNNNNNNNNNNNNNNNNNNNNNNNNNNNNNNNNNNNNNNNNNNNNNNNNNNNNNNNNNNNNNNNNNNNNNNNNNNNNNNNNNNNNNNNNNNNNNNNNNNNNNNNNNNNNNNNNNNNNNNNNNNNNNNNNNNNNNNNNNNNNNNNNNNNNNNNNNNNNNNNNNNNNNNNNNNNNNNNNNNNNNNNNGCGAGGCCUAAGUGAAACAGUUCUGUAUCCGAGCGGGGCUCGAAGCCAGGCGAGGCCUGGAGCGGCGGGGCCGUUGUAGCGGGCGAGGCCCGAGGUAGGGGCCGAGGCCCAGAAUAGCGGGCGUGGCACAGUAUGUGCAGUAUGUGGUUAUGUAUGGUAUGUGGUAGGGUGGGGAACUCACUAAGCUCCGUGCUUAUGGUUUUCAGUUUUGGUUUCAGGUACUUCAGGUAGCGGAGGGAAGAGCUCGGGGUGAUCGCAUGGCACACACCAUAGAUUAGACAGCCUAGGAAUGUUUUACUCUGAUAAUGAGCCUAUGUUUUGGAAAUUAAUACUCUGAUUAUGUUUGGAUUGAUGGUUUUGCUUAAGUAAUGUUUUAUUAAAAGAAAAUUUUUAAUCUUGAAUUUUGGGACGUUACAAGUUGGUAUCAGAGCCUUGGUUUGAGGGAUUCAGGCAUACUCUCGGGUGUGCCUGAACUCAAACUGAGGGGUCGGAUAAAAAGUUUUCAAAAAUGAAAAGACAGUUUUGUAAAAAGAAUUUUGAGAACGAAAAACAGUAUUAGAAAAGCAAAAAGAAUUCAGAAAGAAAAGAACUUUGAAAAGAGAAAAGGGGUGUGGUGCGUGCAAUCAGCCGAGCUCGAGUAAGUACCCUAAAAUACCCAUACAGGUUUAUGUUAUGAUUAUCAGUUAAUAGAACAGCAUGCUAGAUUAGGACUAAGGAUUUAGGGAUGAUGCCUUAUGUGCCUGUUAUAUGUGCUUUUGCGCCGCAUGAUAGUGCUGAUUAGACAGUAGUAGGAUAGCCUGUUUAGGUUAUGCCUGAGUUUAUGAGUUUGUAUGAGUCUAUGAGUUUGUGUUGCAUGCUAGUUCAGUUUCUUACUAUGUUGAUAUGAUUGCUUGAGUAUGUCAUGGUUAGAUUUUCCCUUGUCUAAAUGCUGCUUGCUCUGUGCAUUGUGGGAUUCUGAAUAAUGGGAGUUAGCCCUUAGGUGGAUACGACACGUCACAUGUGAUCAGGGUUGAAUAAUCUCAGAGUGUUGGAUUUGGUCCUAUUGCGCAGCUCUCGUUUGAGUCCAACCGUUGUAGGGACGAGUCCUUCACUUGAAGGAUUAUCUGAGCCUCGUCACAUGUGAUGGUAUCCAGGUGAUGGUUAAUUGGCAUCGCAAGGAGACCUUCAGCAGCUGAUGACUGGUUUGAGUUGAGUCAGAGGUUUCCCUAGGGUAAGCCUAGGAUGAGAUAGUGCUGGGAGCAGUAGUAGUGGAUAAGGGACCUGGUGGAGUCAAAACAAUUCCUAAGGAAAGUACGGAUAGAUGUGGAAGGUAGUAUGGGCCCGUACUACUGAAAGCAGAGGAUCCGUACUCGAUUCGGGAAAGGCCAAGACAAGACCGGGAACCUGGUAGGGUGUGUUUGGUCUCGCAGCAGUGAUCAAUAUUUUGAUUGAGGAUGUAUUAUAUUUUCAGCAUGGUGACGUUGCGUGAGAGACCAACGGGCGGACCACGCGCCGGAGAGGGAUCAGACUCGGGUUCAGGGGCCGAGCAGCUCGAGGAACGAAUGAGGGAGUUGAUAUCAGCUGAGGUUACGCGCAAUAUUCUAGAUAAGACUCCUGUGAUCUGUGGCACGGUCAAGGAGGGUAUAUUGGAGAUUUUGGAUGAGAGGUUGGGAGCCUUUCGUACUGAGAUGAUGGCAUUGAUGGGAACGCGUACCUUGACAUUUCGGGAGUUCAGGGCUUGCGGGACACCAGAUUAUCAUGGGGCUAGGGACCCCAUCGCUAGCAGCAGAUGGUUGGCUGAUGUUGCCAACGCGUUUCGUACGAGCCGGUGUUCUGAGGAGGACAAGGUCAGCUGUCUUCUGAAGGACAGAGAAAAUGGCUAAAAUGAAAUUUUUUCUGAAAAACAAUAGCAAAUGGGUAACAAAAAAAAUAUUGGGGCUAAAUGCAAAAUUAUACAUAAAUGUUGGGGCGAAAUGCAAACUGAGGAAAAUGCAAAACCGAUACAUCAUGACCCGGUUAAGGGCUUGAAAAUGAAACGUUUUCUAAAAUAUAAUGGCAAAUGAACAAAAAAUAAAAUUGGGGUUAAAUCAAAACGAAGGUGUAUAAAUAAUGGCUUUUAAGGUAUUAACCCUUGUUUAAAAUUCAGUUAUGAUUAGUAUAAAUAUGGACUAUGUUUUGGUAAAUUCAAGUUUUCGAUUUCCAACAAUAAAUUCUUUGGUUAGCAAGACUCUCCUUAUUAUUCCUUUGUUUCUCAUGUUUCUCCCACUGCAUAUUUUUCUUGGGCAUCAAGGGAUAACCAGAUCAAUACCUUAUAAUGGCCAUUAUUCCCAACAUCGAGAUCCCAAAUUCUAUGAACAUUUUGAUAUAUUUCACAUUUGUGAACGAUAAUUAAUAAUAUUUUGAACAAAAUUUACUACCAAUAGUCACCACAAGAACACUUACCAUCUCUAAAAUGAUGAAACCUAAAAGGAUCUCUAAGUAUAAUUUUCCGCCUCACAAUCUCACUUACAAACUUAAACAACUCAUGACAAUCACCACAAACACGAAGAUUCUUAAAUAUCUGCAAAUCCGAACCUUCCGGCGUACUAAUCAAUCCAUAUGCAAGUGCCAACCUCUCACUAUGCUUCCAUAAAUGAUCCUCCUUUUGUUCUUCAUCAAUAUCUUGCAAUGCAAACUUCAUAUCACAAACAUAACCACUUUCUUUAACCAUUUUCUUAAUCUCAUCUAAUUUCCCAUAUAUCUUUCCACUCUCAGGGUGCGAUUUAUCCCCUAUCGCAAAAGAACUCACCUUUCUUUUCAUCUUAAUCCAACUACACGCGGGUUUCUUCUUAACAUUUCCAAAUUCCAUUUCUGAUCUAACAUCAUGAACAAAGUCCCAUUUCCCAAUACUUGCACAUACAUUUGAGUAAAGAACAAAAGCCGAAUCAUCUAAUGGAUUUGAUUCAAGAAGAUGUUUUAACGCUUGUUUUCCCAAUUCUAAAUUCCCAUGAAUUCUACACGCAGCUAACAAGCUUCGCCACACAAAGUCAUUUGGUGGGACCGGCAUUUUCUUGAUGAAAUUUUCAGCUUCUAGAAGCUUCCCGGAUCUUCCAAGAAGAUCAAUUAUACAAACACAAUGUUCUAUACCAAUAGGAACUCCAAAUUUUGUUGUCAUUAAAGAAUAAUAUUCAAGACCCUUGUCUACUAAACCUCCAUGACUACACGCAGAUAACAAAGAAACAAAAGUGACAUGAUCAGGCUUAAAUCCCAUUUUCACCAUUUCAUGAAAAGCUUCUAUUGCUUCCUGAAACAAUCCUUGUCUUGCAAAUGAUGAUAUUAGAAUAUUCCAUAACACUAUUGGUCGAAUCUUUGCUUCUGGAAGCAUUUUCAUCACAUCAUUUAUCUCGCCACAUUUUCCAUACAUAUCCGUGACAGCUGUCGUAACAUAUUGAUGCGAGUCAAACCCGGAUUUAAAAGUCAAACCGUGAAUCUGUUGACCUUCUUCAAGAGCAGACAAGGUAGAAGCAGCAGAAAGAGCCGAAGAGAGAGUAAACUGAUCCAAAUGAAUUCCAUUUUUCUUCAUCUCUGUGAAUCUUUUUAAAACCUCUUCUCCAUGUCCAUGAGCAUUUGCAGCAAGAAACGCGUUCCAAGAAACGUAAUCUUUGUUAACAAAUCCAUUAAAAAUACGUGUACUUGAAUCCAAAUCGUUACACUUUCCAUACAUUGUAAUAAGGGAAUUUUUCACAUAAUCAUCCGAAUCAAAACCAGAAAGAAUCAGAUACCCAUGUAAUGGUUUCCCAUGGCUGAAAAGUUGAUUUGGAGUAACACAAGAACUAAGAACUUGAAUCAAGGUUAUGUGGUUAAUGGGUUCAUUUUGUUUUCUCAUAAAGUUAAAAGCUUUGAUUGUUUGAUUUGGUUGUUCACAUUCGGUGUAUCCUCCAAUCAGAGUGUUCCAUGUCACCAAGUCUUUUUCGGGCAUUCUUUCAAAGACUUUUUCAGCUUGCCACAUCAUCUUUUGCUUUCCAUACAUUGUGACUAAAGCAUUUCCAACAAUUAGGUUUCCAUGGAAACCAGAUGUGAAUACAAGUGCGUGAAGGAUUUCGGCUUCUGCUAAAAAAUCAUGGUUUGAACAAGCAGAUAAUGCGCUAGAAAAAGUCACAUGAUUUACAGGUCUUUGUCUCUGAAGCAUUUUAACAAACACUUUCAAGGCAUCAAGGUGCACCCCUUCUUGUAUAUAACCAGAUAUUAUUGUAUUCCAUGAGAUUAAAUCCUUAUCUGGCAUCUCUUCAAAUAACUUUACCAUGUCCUUGAGCUUUCCGGUUUCUGAAUAAAAUAGCAAAAGGGUAUUGCAUAGAGAUAAGUUUAAAUCAAACCCUAGUUUGUGGACCAAACCAUGAACAGCAGCACCAUAGAGGAGAUUGUCCAUGGAGCUACAUACUGAUAACAGUGCAGAAAGUGUAAUUGGAUCAAGAUCUUCAUGGAGAUGACGCAUGAAUUUAAAGCAUUGAAAGGACUCCUUGAAUGAAUGAUUGCGUGCAUAUGCAGAAAUCAUGGAGUUCCAUGAAAUAGUGUCACGUGUACUCAUUUGAUUGAACACAUAGCAGGCGUCUUGUAUGCUACCAAUAUUACCAAACAUGGAUAUAAGAGAAUUGGACACUGAAAGAUCAUAUUCGAAUCCAGAUUUUAUGACAUGUCCAAGAACUUGAAGACCCAAUGACUCGUUUUCCAAAGAUCCACAAGAAGUUAUCACAGUGGUGAAUGUGUUCUGGUUACAUUUGACAUCUUCAUGCUUCAUUUUGUGGUAUAAGUUUAUGACCUCCAUGGGAUUUCCAUUAUCAGAGUAGCCAACCAUCAAUGAAGUCCAAGAUACCACGUUCUUUUCUGGCAUCUUGUCAAAGAGACUAUGAGCACUGGAAUGGAAUCCAUAUGAAGUAUAAAAGUUUAGAAGGGCUGUUCCUGCAUACACAUUAUAUAAUAAACCGUUUUUCAAAAUUAAACCAUGGAUUUGAAAUCCUUGAUGUAGCAUAAAGCCUGAACCAGUGCAUCCGGUUAAUAAACUAGCGAUAACGAAGCCACUUGUCUCAAAUCCUUGAGCACGCAUUUGACUUAACAAAAGAAAGGCGUCUGAGUACAAUGAAACUCGAACUAAAGCAGAGAUCAUGGUAUUCCAUGUAGCUUCGUUUCUCUGAGGCAUUUCAUCGAACACGUAGCGAGCAGCUUCGAAUUUGCCGUGUUUUGAGUACAUAUUGAUCAAAGUAUUUGUAUGGAAUAUGCUUAGACGGAGGUAAUUCUUUAUACAAAAAGCAUGUAGUGAUUUUCCAACAGUCUCGUUGGUGAUCUCCGAGAAACCCUUCUCUAAAAAAACUGAGAUAAUGGUUCCUCCAAAUUGGUGCAUCCCACGAUGUAGAGACUUGAGGCUUGAACAUGGCGUCAAAGCGUUCCAGUAGAGAAACUGAUUAGCUAUGACACCAACUCGGUGCAUACCCAGGAACAGCAUCAGAGUUUCCUUGGCGAAGCCAAUUUAAGUAUAUACUCGGAUAAUAAUGCAGUCCAAGAAACCAUCCUUCUCAUUGUUCAUUUUAACGAACACAUCACAUCACGGGCGCCUUUCAUGCCACCAGCUUGAGAGCAGUCCAUCUCCCGAAUGUCAUUUUAAUCUGUAUUUUCUCUCCUAUUCUUCUCAAACUUUAUCCUAUUUCUUCAAAUAUGGAGAUAUAUUGUGAUGAAGUUUUGUAGGUUUUAUUCUAUCUUUUUAUAUAUUUAUAUAUUUAUAGUUUAUUUUAUCUCCUAGAUUUUAUUUAAAUACUAAUAUUUGUAAUAUUAUAUUAAUUAAUCAUCCAUAUAAAAUUUAUUUUUAUUUAUCGAAUUCAUAUAAAAAAUUAAAUACAUAUUAAAAUCAUGAAACAUGAUAAUAUAUUUAUUUAUGAGUGUAUUAUAAAUAUAAAUUUAUUUAUGUAAUAUUACUGUAAUGAAAAAAAAUAUAUAUUAUAUAUUUGUUAAAACCAAAUUAGUAGAAGAGUGUGUUUGACAAUCUAUGUAAGUUGGAAAAAUAAAAUAUACAAAAAAUAUAUUUUUUGGGGGUAAAAAACAGAGUAAAAAAUGAAAUAGGGUUGGAGAUGAAAUACUAUUUACUCCAUUUUUUGGAAGAAAAAAAUAGAGGUAGGUUGGAGAUGGUCUUAAAGAAUUUCGUCCGCUAAACACUCCAAAUUAUAGAGAUUCUUUUUUGGGAGAAUUUGGUAAGAUUGUCAACAAAAAUAAGGGAAAUGUGUAUUAAAGUCCUUAAAGAUUGAUUCCAUUAACGGAAAAGUCAUCCCUAUUUUUUUUUUUCUUUUUACAAUUUUACCCCAUAUACCGGCUAUCGUUUGCAUCUUGUCUCCAAUACCAGGUUACCGCUUACGUAAUCAAUCACUUUGGCUGAUGUGGAGGACAUGUAAUUUAAAAAGGCGUUUAGGGGUAAAUUCUAACAUAAUUCAUCAAAAGUAGCAAUAAUCGAUCAAGGGGGAAAAGGAGAAUGGCUUCAUCUCCUUCAGUUGAAAGUAUUCGUCGAACUAUGACAACCCAAGUUGUAAGAGAGACGUGCUAUUAUGGAGAUGUAUGUGGAAGGUGGACUUCCGGACAACAAAAAAUCCAUGUCGAAGAUUUGUGGGAUGGCCUAAUUAUAAGGUAAAGGCUUUACACAUUACUUAGAUGAACAAAUUAUGAUUUUGUGGUUUUGGUUUUAGGAUGAAGAGAAGGAUUGUGAGCACUUUGCUUGGAUAGAUCCUCCACUACCCACGAAAUGGUACAAAGACCAAAAGUUUGAAUUGUAUAACUAAGCAACUGCUUAAAAUGUAGGAGUACAAGCAACAUUGGGAUGUAGUGAUUUGGGAAAUCCAACUCAAGGUCUUCAAGUAGCAGCAACAGUGCAAGGUGGUGGUGGUAUAUCACUUGGACUUUUGAAGAAUGCAAUAUAUGUUCUUGUAGUUGUUGUAGUGGUCCUGGUAUGUGGUAAAAUGGUGUAAUAUUGUAUUUCUCAAUGUAUUGUGUAACAACCCAAAAUUUUCAAUAAAAUUUUUCAUUUUUAAAUAAUGAAAUCAUAUCCAUGAAUUAUAAAACCCCAAUCAUAAUUGUUUUCAAAACCCAUAACAUCAAAUAAAUUAUUCAUAAAUCAGAGUGUCCCCAAACAAAAUACCAGAGAGUGCAUGCCGUGCCAUUAUGCCUAGCCCUUGCCCUUAGAUCCUGAAGUACUUGAAACAACCAACAAACUGUAAGCUAACACUUAGUGUGUUCCCUAGAGCCUACCCCACAUAACACACAUAAUCAUACAAUCCAUAUAAAUCCCAUAAUCCAUGCAUGUAAACAUAUAGGGAUGUCGUGGGCUCCCACCAGGGUCUUACACCUAUGUGUCAUGGGUUCCUCCAUGGUUUUUACCUGGAAUGCCAUGGGCUCCCCCACAUGGUCUGAUAUCUAAGUGUCAUGGGCUCCCCCAUGGUCUUUACUUGGAAUGUCAUGGGCUCCCCCACAUGGUCUGAUAUCCAAGUGCCACGGGCUCCCCUGGGUCUUCCAUGCAAGUAUCCCAAAGACAACUAACAUAUUACAUACCACAUUGUAACAUCCUAAGUCCAGGUAUACCUUGUAACCCUUGGUAUUUUGUGUACUUGUCCAUUUCCGCCCUUUUUGAGGAAAGGUGGUGAAUAAGUACGCAUGACGUAUGCGAGUAUACGCUCAAUGUAGUCAUGUGCGUGCUUUUGAUACAUAAUCCACCUAGUAUGCUGGCCAUUGCUGCAUUUCAUGAUUAUGAAAUAUGGAAAAUGGAUGUCAAAACCGCUUUCCUUAAUGGGAAAUUGGUUGAGGAUGUUUACAUGGCUCAGCCAGAGGGUUUUGUCAAUGCGAAGCAUCCUAAUAGAGUGUGCAAGCUUGAGAAGUCCAUUUAUGGACUUAAGCAAGCGUCUCGCAGAUGGAAUCUUUGCUUCGAUGAGAAAGUCAAAGACUUUGGGUUUAUACGAAGCGAAGAUGAAUCAUGUGUACAUGUCAAAGCCAGUGGGAGUAUAGUUAGCUUCCUCGUAUUGUAUGUUGAUGACAUACUACUCAUAGGAAACGACAUCCCGACACUACAGGAAGUUAAAUCCUGGCUCGAGAAGUGCUUCGCUAUGAAGGACCUCAGAGAGGCUUCCUAUAUUUUAGGAAUAAGGAUGGCGAGAGACCGAAGUAAGAGACUAAUAGGAAUUAGUCAGAAUACUUACUUGGACAAAGUACUAAAACGUUUUAGUAUGGAGAACUCAAAGAAGGGAGAGUUACCAAUCCAAAGUAAUGCCAAGUUGAGUAAGACUUAAUGCCCGAGUACCGAAGUCGAGAUAGCAGAAAUGAGCCCAGUACCAUACGCUUCCGCAGUUGGCUCGAUUAUGUAUGCUAUGACUUGUACUCACCCUAAUGUGGCCUUCGCUUUGAGCAUGGUCAGUAUAUAUCAAGGGAACCCUGGUAGAGCGCAUUGGACCACAGUCAAGAAUAUUCUUAAGUACCUUCGGAGGACCAAGGAAUGGUUUCUAGUCCUCGGAGGGAGUGAUGACUUAAAAGCGCGAGGGUAUAGUGACGCCAGUUUUCAGAUCGACAGGGACAACUACCGUUCGCAGUCGGGCUGGGUCUUUACCCUUAAUGGAGGAGCAGUGACUUGGAAAAGUUCCAAGUAAGAAACCAUAGCCGAUUCAAUGUGCGAAUUAGAGUACAUUGUAGCGAGNAGCCCAUGGAAAUUUUCUGUGAUAAUGAAGGAGCGGUUGCCUUGACCAAGGAACCGAGGGAUCAUGGUAGAUCUCGACAUAUCGACAUAAAAUAUCACUUUAUUAGACAUCGUGUAGAAGAAGGACAACUCGUAGUGAAGAGGAUAUCAUCUAAAGAUAACCCAGCAGAUCCGCUUACAAAGGGACUUAGUAGGGUUAAGCACUUGCAGCACGCUAGGAGCAUUGGGCUGAAGGACGAUAUUAGUUUAGAUUAUAUAGUUUAGAAACGUGUAAUAGAUAAAUGUAAUUGACAUUUGAUGAUUAAAUAAAGGAGUAUUAUUUAUAAGUAAAGUUACUGUCUUAUGUUGAUUGUUUAACUAUUGUUUCACUUUGCAUGUUUUGACUUCCUGAAUAAUUGAGUUAUUUAAGAAUAAUCGAAUUAUUCGAACGGUCCACAGUCGUUCAUAUGUUGGAAGUAGAUAUGAAUGAAGACUGUCAUGAAUAGGUGUGUAGAUUGUCUAAAAGGUAUUAGACAUAGCAAAGGUUUGCUACAACGUUCAUGAGUGCUUAUGAACAAGUUUUGAGCAUUGGAAUAAACCCGUGCUUGCUGGAAUCACUUCAUGGAAUUUAUCACGAGUGAUCGCGAGACGAUAAUAUCAUAUGGUCUUAAAACCUAGAUAUAUGGUUUAUUGUUGGCUGAUUGGUUGUGCAUUGAUAAUGCGAAAACGCAUCACUAACUUGAUGUCAUAAAACACAUUGUUGUGUAAGAUUUGAUUAGUGAGUAGUAAAUGCAUAUAAGUCGAAGUUUAUCUGUUCCUUUUAUCCUAAGAGGGUAAAAGCGAUAUCAGGGCCCCUCGAUCAUUUGAUUUGACUUAUAUGUUGGGCCCGGUCAGGACUGAAUUGAUGUGUUCAAUUAAGUUAUAUGUCAAAUGAAUCUGAGAUCGAGAAACAAAUUGUUGGACAAUAAGAAUGACUAUGUUCCAUGUAAUUGUCCGCACGAUAUCUAGAACAGAGGACUAUACGAUUCCUUAUCUAAAGGACAGGUUACUGAUAAGAUUAGAGUUCGACAACGUCUUUGAGAGCUACGAUUGUUAAUCGGAAUAUGCUUACAUUAUAGUUACUAGACUUAUCCAAGUGGGAGACUGUUGGAUUAGUGUCUAAGCCCUUAACUAUAUUUGGUAAGUGCUUGACCCGGUUGUGCAUGGUCCUUUUGGGUUGCCUUCACCAUAGCAACUUGACAGGGUAAUUUAUGGAGAAAGAGAGAAGAUACUAUGAUUAUUAAUAUAUUAUAAGAAUAAUAUAUUUAAGGAGUAAUCAUAUUAUUUAAUUAAUAUUAGUCAAAAAUUAAUUAAGAAUUAAUUUGGUGACUAAAAGAGAUUAAUUAAAUAAAGGGGCUUAAACUGUCAAAUGUGUGAUAGUUGGAUUUAGGGUUGGGAAACCUUAUUGAUUAAAGGGGGAACGAAAUUAUGAUGGGGAUCCAUCAAAAUUUCAUCCAUAGUCCCUAUUCCAUAAGGUUCCAUGGGCUGCUUGGUGAUUAAGCUGUCCAUUAGGGUUUUGGCAGAAAAGCCUACAGUAUAAAUAGAGACCCCUAUAUGUAAUUUUCGGCCACUUGAUUCCAAGAGAAACCCUAGGGAUGAUUUUAGCAUCCUCUCUUCUCUCUCAUAAUUGCCUUCUUGCUAGUUGGUGUUUGUAAGCUGUUAGAGGAGUUACACUUAUGACUCUAAGCUCAAGGAAGAAGAAUAUUCAAGCAAGUAAUAAGACGUAAUCUUCUAGAUUUGUUUUGGUCAUUAUAAUUUCGAGUUAUUAUCAUUAGAUCUAGGGUUAAAAAUCCUUGGAUGAAUGCAUGUACAAUUAGAGAAACCUAGAUCCAAGCAUUAGGGUUUGCAUGAGCACAUAGGAUGUUCUUGUGGCUCAAACCCAUCAGAAACACCAAUCCUUGAUUUACCCGAAAGAGUUGAAGACUUUGUAGUUUACAGUGAUGCAUAUGGACUUGGAUUAGGUUGCGUUCUAACCCAUAGAGAUAAAGUGAUAGCAUAUGCAUCCAGACAACUGAAAGCACAUGAACAUAACUAAUGCACUCGUGAUUUGGAGUUGGUAGCAGUGGUUUUUGCGUUGGAGAUAUGGAUACAUUAUCUUUAUAGCAUGAGGUGUAAGAUUUUCACUGAUCAUAAGAUUCUUCAGUAUCUCUUUGAGCAAAAGGAGUUGAACAUGAGAAAAUAUGCUGACUAGAAUUACUCAAGGAUUGUAACUGUGAGAUAUGUUACCACCCUUGAAAAGAGAAUGUCGUAGCAGACGUUUUGAUUAGAAAAAUAAACCUAGAGAGGAAAAGGCCAAGAACGCUAAGAAUUGAAAUUGUCUUAAUGAUUGUAGAAAGUAUCAAGAAAGCUCAUAAGGAAGCCUUAGAAAAGAAGAAAAUUGAAAAGAAGAAUGUUUGGGAAAAUAUUAGUGUUUGGAACAAACAACCAAGGGUUGAAGGUAUUCCAAAACAAAAAUUGGGUGCCUAAGACGGGAGGUAUAAGAGAUCUUCUCAUCGAAGAGUCUCAUGAAACCAUGUACGCUACUUAUCCUGGAAGCACCAAGAUGUAUAUGGAUUUGAAACCAUAUUACUGGUGGUAGAUGAUGAAGUUCAAUGCUACUAAGUAUAUGGAUUAGUGUGUGACAUGCACAAGAGUUAAAGCUCAACAUCAGAAACUGUAUAGGAAUUAGGAACCUUUACCAGUACCUAUGGGUAAGUAGGAAGACAUCACCAUGAAUUUUGUGACUGAAUUACCUAGGAUGAAGAUUGGUCAUAACAUAAAUUGGGUGAUUGUGGAUCAAUUGAUGAAGAGUGCGUAUUUCAUAGCAUUCAAAGAGAGAUUGUCUAUGGAAAAACUCGCAAAAGUUUACAUGAAAGAGAUAGUGAAAGAUCAUGGUGCCCCUUUGACAAUUGUUUCAGAUCGUGAUAAGUUUUGUACUUAUCGAUUUUUGAGGAGUCUACACGUAGAGAUGGGUACAAAACUAUGUUUGAGUAAUCCUUAUCAUCCACAAACUGAUGGUCCAAGUGAGAGAAUGAUUCAAACACUAGAUAUAUGUUGAGAGCUUGUACGUUGGAGUUUGUGGGUAAUUGGGAUGAGAAUUUACCAUUGGUGGAAGUUUCUUACAAUAAUAGUUACCAUUUGAGCAUUAGGAUGGCACAUUAUCAUGCACUGUAUGGAUAUAAGUGUCGUCGCCAUCUUGUUGGCUUAAAGCCAGAGAGAAGUAGUUUAUGGGUCCUGAGAUUGUCCAUCAGACUGCUAAGAAGUUAAAAGUGAUCAAAGAAAGAAUACUAGCAACUCAAAACCAUCAAAAAAGUUAUGUUGUAAUGCCCGCGUUUCUCACUAGGCAUUAAUAAGAUGAUGUAAUAGUUAUGGUCAACAAUUGUAACCUAUUUGCUGUAAUAAAGAAGAAUUAUGUGAAUAUUAUGUGUUUCAUGAUUAUAAUAAUAUAAUACAAUAGGAAAAAUCAAACGAAUCGCCAGUAAAUUGUAAAAAUAAGUGCGCCAAAACAUAUAUAUUAUUAUAUAUUUAGAAAAUACAUGUCGUCUUGAUCCCGAAAAUAUACAUUUCGUAGAAAUCCGACUCAUAAUUAAUUAUAUGAUUUUUAUAAGAUAUAAGACUCAGUCGCGCACAAGGAAUGUGUGACAUAAAAGUAGGCCUGGCAAUGGAGUGGUGCUUUGACCCUGAUCCGAUCCAAACCCUUAACAAUUAUAUGAGUUUGGAGCAUAGUUUUUGAUCCAUUUACCCGUUAACGACCCGUACCCGCUAACCCUUUUAUUAAAAGGGUCGGGUAUGGAUCAUUACCGAUCCACUCCAUUUAUAACUCGCCCCGUAUAAAUUUUAGAAUUAUACAUUUAUAUUUUAUACUGCCUAAGUUUUACUUUAAAUUCCAAUCAAAACUCCAAAGACUAAAUUGUUUUUACAUAGGACUCGAGGGUUUGAUUAUUUAAAACCCUACGGGUUACAGAGAGGGUUUGGAUCGGGUUUUGGAAUUUGUUAAAAGGGUUUGGAUUAAGGUCGAUUCGCUCCAAACCCACUCCAUUGCCAGGUCUACAUAAAAGCUACAAAGAUAAUGGUUUUGGAAUUUUGUUUCGUGCGUGGUGCACGCGAGGUACACAAUGCACGCUUGUAAAAGGUGAAAACGCUGACCAUAGAGAGGCCGACACGUGGCACAAAGUGGUUGGGAGACGUUGCCUUAAAAUGCAUGACGUGCACCUCAUUUGCACACCAUGCAUCCCAAAUUUAGCUAUAAAUAGCCUAAGAUGCCCCAUCUAAGGCCAAAAUCCCAAAAUUUCCUUAGUUCUAAGUAUCUGGUAAAGACAUGAUAUCCCUUAAAGCCCCACAUCUAAGGUGCUAGUAGGAUGGAGUUCUGCCAUUACAAUUUUCGAACUUUUGUCUAGGGAAUCUCUGUAAGUUAAAUUACACUCGACCUUAUCUUAGUGUAAUUUAUAUUUAUAAGUCAUAGUCGUUAUUAUGAACCUAUAAAUAAGAUUUAUCAGUAAUUCCAAGUCAUAAUAUUGAUCAAUCUUCUUACGGGAGAGGUGUCUAGAAUGGUCACGUUGGCUUGGUUGUUGGAUUUUAGAAUGGCUAUACGUUGAAAUGGUCCUACCUCCCAACUGUCCUCCUGGCUGAUCCUUAUUUGAUAAAACUAUCAAUAUUCUUUGGAAUAAUUGAUAGGUCUAGACUAUUUUCAGUCACGUAGAAUAUUAGGCUAAGACAUAGUUAUAAUGAUACUAGGGUAUGUCAAAGGAAAAGUUUGCUGCUAGAAGCGAAAUGUUGUCUGAGUUUUGAGUCAUUACUUUAACAAGUGAGUGCAUAGUUACUUUCAUCUUACACAUAGAUAUGAUGUACUUAAGAUAAUGACAUGCUAUAUAUACCUAUUAUCUGUGUUCCUAAAAUCUAUGCUAGAUGAACGAUUAUACAUGUUUUACUUGAUUUAAAAUAUAUAUAUAUAUAUAUAUAUAUAUAUACCUAUGUAGAGAUGGGUAGAUGAAAUAUGAUAUAGAUGAAGAGAUAUGAAAGAUGUAAUAGAUUAUGAGAGGCCUUGACUUUAAAGAUGAUCUAGUCGUUUAGUGGAAUAUAGAUGACGACAGAUUAUUUUAGACAGUACAGUGGAAUGCUAGCAGGCCUGCAACCUGUAUGUGUUUUUGAACUAAGUGUUCACCAGGUGUAAUCUUGCAACCGACAAACUUUGGUCCAAUGGUAAAGAUAGCAAGGACUCUAAAGGAGGACAUAUGGUCAGCAAGGAACAUGGAGAACCAAAUUAGGAAGAAGGGUUUGGAGAGAGCGAAGGUAGGAGAGAAGAGAAAGUUUGAGGGACCAUCAAGGUCCAACAAGAAGAGUAGAUUUUCAAAAUCUGGUUCCAGAAAUUUUGUAGGUGGAGGAGAAGAAAAAUGGCACGAGAAGUGCAAAAAGAAGCAUUCUGAUUUUGUAACGCCCCGAUUUCCAGGUAUUGACUUAGUGUGUGAGUCCUUGAUUUCAAGGGCUACUCGACGAGUUGAUUGCCCUACUCGUCGAGUAGCAGCGGGUUGGCCACGUAUUUUAAUGAGCUACUUGCCGAGUUCAAGAAGGGACUCGACGAGUAGGAGCUGGCAGAUGAAACCCUAAAUCUCGGGGUUUUGCACCCUAUUUAAAUGAUCAUUGGCCUCCCCCAGCCUCCCCUCUACUGCCCUUUGUCCCUCUCAAGCCCUAAAUCGUGUGUGUGUGUGUUCUUUUGGUGUGUUCAUGCUUGGAGGAGGAAAAUUGAAGAAGGAAACACUUGGGGAAGCAAGGAAAUCAAGGCUAGGAACUCGUGGGGAGCUAGGAGGUUCAUCAGUUGUCACUCCCUGAAAGGUAUUAAGUUGUUCCUUUAGCUCAUCUCUCUUUUGACCUCUUUUGGAUGGGUUUUAUGAAAGGCUCCCCAUGUUUAAGCUAAGAUCUGAAGUUGUAACUUCAGAUCUGGACUCCCUUUGACCUCUAGAUCCAUAAAGUCAUCAGCCUUGCCUAUUACGAGCCUUCCCUCAAGUGUGAGACUUCAUUGUAAGCUUAGUUUUGCCAUUUAAGGGUCUUAAAGCCUUGCAUGCACGUAAAGUUUGCGACUUUACGUGAUAAAUAUGCCAUAGAAGCUUGGAUCUAUAAUUUGGAGCCUUGCCAUGGCUUUAAAAGCGUCUGCAUGGAUGAAGGUCUGCAAGGACUCGGCAAGUUGGAUGAACAACUUGGCGAGCCCGUUGAAGAUAGCCAUGAACUUGACGAGUUGGAUGAACAACUCGGCGAGUUUGUUGAAGAUUGCCUUGGACUCGGCGAGUCGUUCGAAGACUCGACGAGUCGGCUAGGGUUUCUCCCAAUUAUUGGACAAAUGAACUUGGCGAGGUAAAAAGGGACUCGACGAGCCAAUAAGGGAUUUCAUGACUUCUCGAGUUCAGGAAGGACUCGAAGAUUUGGUGAACUGCACUUGACGAGUCGAGUCAGCAUGGACUGUUGAAUUUGACUGUGGACUUUGACUUGGACCAAGGGUUGACCAGUUGACUUCUGAGGGUAUUCUGGUAAUUUGGAGACUUAUGAAAAAGGGUUCUAUGGUAACUAUAGGUGGUGGAGUUCGUGUUGGUGAUCCAGGAGUCGAGCUUUCUAGUUUCAGACGACAGUUGCAAGGUGAGUUAUCCUCACUAUACUAAGGGGUCUAAGGCACCAAGGCCAGCCCAUUGGAUAUGUUAUCCUAGAAGUGUUAGAGGUUGAGUACGAGUUAGUGUUGCAUUCUAGUGGUUAUGCCAGUUAGGUAGAUCUGUAGGACUACCUAUGACGUUAUGUGAUUAUUGCUUGCUCAGUGGUUACGUUAUGUGUUUGUUAUAUGAGAUGGGUUGAGGUUGUAAAGCUUCGUGCGGUAGCCAACAAACCUUAGGAGCAUUCCAGCUACGGGCUAAGGGAGACUCGUACUGUGGGCUCGGGAGCAUUCCAGCUACGGGCUAAGGGAGACUCGUACUGUGGGCUCGGGAGCAUUCCAGCUACGGGCUAAGGGAGACUUGUACUGUGGGCUCGUGGGUAUUACAGUCUGUAGGGCUGUAAACUCGUUAUGUGUUAUUCUGUUCAGCUUGUUAUGAUAUGUUAUUACUGACAUGGUUAUGUGGACUGUAUGUGUAUCAGUAUUUUGAGGGGUAACUCACUAAGCUUUUAGGCUUAUAGUUUUAGUUUAUUGUUUCAUGUACAUCAGGGGAUCGCAGCAAGGCGAAGGCAUGACCGUACAACUCCUCAUAUUAUGUUUAUGUUUCUGAGAAUACUCUGAUCAAAUAUAUUUUGAAAACAAAGUUGUAAUAUUUUGAUGAAGUUGACAUGUUUUAAAAGUUUAAAUUGGUUUGAAAUUUUUGGGUGUUACAAGUGUGUAUCAGAGCCUUGGUUUGAGUGAAUUGGAGAAACACCCGUGUAACUCCAGUCUCAAAUCAAGGAAAGGAGUUUCAAAAUGAUUUUUCUAAAAAGGUUUUCAAAAUAAAUAAAGGAGGAUGCAGGGUGUACGAUCAGCCGGAGCCAGUAAGUAGACCCCCAAAAUACCAUACAAGUUAUUUGAUUAUGUGAUAUGUUAGAACAACAUGUUAGUACUAGGCUAGGGAUCUUCAGAAAUUGCAUGGUAGAAUUGUCUGAUUUCAUGAUGCCUGCUAGCCUAGGGUUUCCUUUAUAUGAAAUUGACAUCAUUACUGUAGUUGCUUAGUGUAUGCAUCACAGUUAUAUAUAAUUAAGAUCUUAUAGUCUGAGAAUGUUUGAUUUGGCCUUAUGUUCUGUUCUUGUUUGAUUGGGAGCUUAGGGUAGGAUUGGAUAUUCGAAAGUCUAUAGGGUCCAACGUUAUGUAUGGCUAGCAUACACUAGUGCUACAGGGUUGGUGGAAGUUUCAUGGAUAGGUGGGUUGAGUGAGGCCAGGAGGUCAGUUAUGAGAUGUUUAUCACUCCUCUAGGGUGAGAAUUGAGCGCUCGCCAUGUUGUGUAUUCAGUUAGGGCAUUGUGACGAUGAUUGAGGCAAAUAUGGGUAGGUGUGGAAGGUAGUUGUUGGAUUAGUGUCUAAGUCCAUAACUAUUUUGGUAUGUACUUGACCCGAUGGUGCAUGGUCCUUUUGGGUUGCCUUCACCAAAGCAACUUGAUUGGAGAAAUAAAUAGAAAGAGAGGAUAAUAUGAUUUAUUAAUAUGUUAUAAGAAUAAUAUAUUAAAGGAGAAAUCAUAUUUGUUUAAUUAAUAUUGGUCAAUAAUUAAUUGAGAAUUAAUUUUGUGAUCAAGUGUAAUUAAUUAAACUAGAGGGGCUGAUUUGUAAUUAUGUGAUAGUUACAAAAUAAGGUAAGGAUUAUCUUAUAUAUAUGGUGAACGAAUUUGAGGUGUAAAUCCCUUAGAAUUCGACUAGGAUAAGGGUUUCUAGGACUUAUCUUAUGGUUGCUUGGUGGACAAGCAACUAGAUAAGGAUAAGGACUAAAACCCUAAUCUUUACACCUAUAUAAACCCCCUAAGGCUUAGGAAUUCGUCUAACCCUUCCCAAGAGGUCCUAAGGACGAAUUCUAACCUCCCUCCUCUCUCUUUAUACCUUCUCCACUUGCUUAUGGUGUUUGUAAGCCAUUAGAGGAGUGACACUUGUGACUCUUUGCUUUCCAAGGUCAAUUCAAGGAGGAAUUGGAUUGUUAUUGCUACAUAACAAUCAAGGUAUGUUCUUAAACCUAUUUACAUGUGAAUUCUGAUUUCCAUAUGCUAGAAUUAGGGUUCAAAGUCUUGGAUUCAAAGUAUGUACAAUAGAGAAACCUAGAUCCGAGCUUUAGGGUUUGUAUGAGCACAUAGGAUGUCUUAUGACCAAAACCCAUCAGUGGUAUCAGAGCCAUGAUUGGUUUCUAUUGUAUUGAUGCUUGAUGUAACUGAAAAUCGUGUUUUGGCCUCACUGUUCGACCUGACUCGGCGAGUCACUCUUGGACUCGGCGAGUCAGCCCUACUCGGCGAGUUCCAGAGGGUGACUCGGCGAGUCGGUGCGUCAGACAGUGCUUAUCUCGGGAUUUCUUGCUGUUUUUGCAUUGGGAUAAUUACCUUAUCAUGUUAGAUUAAUAUUAAUCCGAUUAUAUGAUAUAUUUGACUAUAUUUUUAAUCUAAUUGAAGAUAUUUAUCAAUUAAUAAGAUAAUUGUUUCCUUAUAAGAUAAUUGAUUAAUUAUUUUAAGUAAAUUGAUAAAUUAUUUUGCAAGAAAUCAUCAAAUAUGGAUAAUUAUGUGAUUAAAUGUUAAUUUGAAUUAUUUGUUAUUUGAUCCUUGUUGUUGUGAAAAGUUUCAUAUUUGGCCCUUUAGGUUUUAUAGUUUAAAUUUGAACCCCAAAAGUUUUGUUGUUUUGAAAUUUAAAUAGUUGAAACCCUAAUGUUUUGAAAAAGGUUUCAAAACUUGCCCUCAAGUUUUGGAAUUUAAAUUUUGAUUAAAUAGUUUAAUUUUGAUGCAUAUUUAAAUUCUAAACCCUAAUGUGUUGAAAUGUUUCAAAACUUGCCCUCAAGUUUUGGAAUUUAAAAGUUGAUUAAAAGUUUAAUUAGGAAUGUUAAAUUCUAAAACUCUAGUAUAGUUUUGAAAAAGUUCAAAUCACACCCUUAUGGUUUUAUUAAUUAAUUAAGGUGUAUAAUUAAAAGAGGUUUAAUAAAUCCAUAAAAGUUUAGGUUUACAAUUUAAUUGAAUUAAAAGUAUAAUUGUUAAAUUAGACCACCUAGUAUUUUAAAAGUAUAAAAUACACCCUAUACUAUAUAUAACAUUAAAAGUCUAACAUUAUAUAUAUGUAUGAGUAAAAGUCAGUCUUACCGUUAGUAGGCCUCAUUCACGAAGCUGGUCUAUAAGGGGUGUUUAAGGAAAUUGCCUAUAAAAUGGCGAUUGAAUGGGUAUCCACUCUUACCCACCGCACUCUUGACUAGUGGAGGGUCGUUAGCCGAACGGGUAGGAUAGGACGAAACCUUCCAUUAUAAGUAUAAUGAAUUAUUAAAGUAACUAAAUGUUUUCAUAAAAUUCCCAAUCUUAGUUACUUAGGCAAAAGUGAAUUGAUGCAAUUCCAUGAAAUUACACUUUGUGCCCUUGCGAAGACGUUAGUGGAGCGUGUGUGGUUUACCGGCACACUAAAUGGUUCUAAGCAAAGGUAGCAAAGGGUGACUCAAUGUUUGUCAUAGUUCGGUGGAGCGUGUGUGGUUUACCGGCACAUCGAAUAGGUGACUGUAACAUGUGAGGGCACCAUGUAAGUUUGCAUGGUUAUUCACACCCGCUUUGUGAUCCUCGGCAUCCCAGUCACAAACAAGAGGGGCAUAUCGAGAUUUAAACAUGCCAUUGAAAGUUCAAUGAAUCUCAAAGGAUCUAGGAGUUUUCAUAGAUUUAAAACUUAAAUUUCUUUUUCGUUUUUCAUGGUGGAAAUUAGUGAAUCGUCAUUCACUUACCUUCAAAUAUUCUGCAAUUAGGGUUACGGCAUCCCUCUCCCGAGUUGUAGAAUAUUGUGUUGGGUCCUAGCCUUAGUAUCUCAUUUGGGUGAUUUACUAAGGACUCAAUCAAUCAACUAACUUGAAUUCGUUUUCUCCCGUUUUGUAGAUGUCAAAGUUCGACAACUAUGGUCUUCCCAAAUCCCGUGGAACAAGCAUUCCACAUGAAGAUGAUAUUCCACGAUUCGAUCGAGGAACAAGAAAUCAUGCUUCACUUCCUCCUCCUCCUCCAAUUAUUCUCCCUAACCCACAAGUUCAAAGGCUUGAAAAGUUCAAGAUCACUCAAGCCCUUUUGGCAAGUAAACAUAAAGAAGGAAAGUCGGUGUGUGCACACGUCCUAGGGAUGAAGUCACACAUUGAUAGGUUAAGAAUGUUGGGAUCCGUUGUCUGUGAGGAAAUGGCUGUUGAUUGGGUUCUUCAGUCACUUCCUAACUCAUAUAGUGAGUUCGUAAGAGAGUACUAUAUGAUGAACCGCGACGUGACCCUUAUAGAUCUCACCUAUAUGCUUAUUGCUGCUGAAUCAGCAAUGGUUUGGCGCAAUAGAAAAGCAAAGUUGAUUGGUGAAUCUGCCUUCAAGACCUCUAUGGAUAUAGACAAUGGCAACGAAAGACAUGCUAUGAUCGAAAAGUUUGAUCAUAAGAGAAAGGCAAUGUCUGAAGUAGUUCCAUGUCAUGUUCCAAAAGAGUCAAUUUGCUUUUAUUGCCAAGAGAAAGGGCAUUGGAGACGAAGCUGCCCCAUUUACCUAAGAGAUCUAAGAGAUGGGAGAGUCGAAACGUAUGGCUCUAAUAUAGGUAAAAUCCAUUAACUAACUCUUUUAAGCUUCUAUUCUAGAUUCUUAAUACAUAAUGUGAUAAGAUUACAAUUGAUGUUUUGUAGGAUCGAAGAAAAGAAAGGAAGCUUAAGGGAAGAAGUGAGCAGAAUCUAACCGUGAAGGAAUGGAUUUCGAUCGCAUUUCUCGAAGAUUAGAUUCUUGAGCUACUACUUAGAGUUAGAAUUAGAUUGCUAAGAAAGAUGUAUUAGCAUAGUUUUUCAAUGAAUUGCAUUGUAAGGACAAAUUUUUUCCGCAAUAAAAUAAAUUUUGAUUUUAUAUUAUUUAUUUAUCCUUGCAAUGGCGUAUAUGAAAAAUUGAUGUUUGAAUGUUUCUAUUAUUAGCAAUAAUGGAUUUGGUUCUUAUUAUGUUAUUUAUGGAAAGUCGAGAAUUUACCAAAUAGGGAGAGUUUCUCAUCGCCCAAGUUUCAAUUGGACAGAAACUUGGAAUCAUGCAACUUGGUUGCACGAUGAAUGAGAAAUUUCAUAUUUGGAAAUUAGACUAAUUCAUUGACAAAGUGUCAAGUGAAGGACUAGGAGAUCGAGUACACAAAGUUGCGUGUUGAUCAAGUCCACCAUAAGAGUAACAAAGAUAUUCGUCAUGAUUUACUAAAGGUUUAGUAAAUAUGAUUAUACUUACAAGAUUAAGUGUAAUUCUGAAUUGAUUGAAAAAGUUUAAAUCAAUAGCAGAACGAAUAAGAAGAAUCAAGUAGGCAGAAAGAUAAAAGUUUCUCCAUUCUAAGAAGAAGGGAGAGUACCUUUUAUGCUUUAUGAUAGGUCUUAAUGAUUAAGAACCAUAUCUCAAUUGAUCCUCUAAGUGAGUCUUAGUACAAUUGUAUGUCUAAGAAGAGGAAUCAAGAAUUGAAGAAAUGGUUAAAUCAAGAAGUCAAUCAUACUUCGUUCCAAAACAAGUCUUAGAGUUAAGAUUGUGACAUUGAGUGAAAAGUAUUAAGAAGGUUUAUAACAUUCAUCAAAUGUGGAAAGUUGUGAUGUCUUGGAUAAGACAAAGACCAACUAGGACCAAUUUAUGAAGUGUUUUGAUAAAAGCUACACUAACUCUUGAAUAUUUGUUUGUCAAGAAAUGUUUAUUGACAAGAGAAUCUUAUAUGUCAAGGAGUCAGUGGGAGUCUUAAUGGUCUUGAAAGGUUUCAAGAACAAAUCAAAUAAACCUUAUCGAUCAUCACUAGCACACGAGUUGAGGUUUACAACCUAUCGUGUUGACAUUAUUUUGUUUCUGUGCCAAUCCAAUCGAGUUAAUUAUGCAUGUGAGUUCUAUGAGUUCUCAUUUUGAACGCAUAAAAGGCAAAGCACCUUAAUCAAUGAAAGGUACAUUGAUAGGAAAGGGUGAGCUGCUUAACUACUUGGAAGACAUGGUGGGCAGCUGUGCUACCAUAAGGCAAGAAAUCAAGAUUAAGAAAGUUCGGUCCAUAUGAGUUUGAAUUUGUCGUAAACUUUGGUUUUAACAAAUUCACAUGGAUAGGAACACAUACACCGUUUAAAUCUAAGUGUCAUAAGAUUUCCUCCUUCAUGAAAAUGAUUGUGAGGAAAUGCUUUCACUAAGAAAGAUUUUAAGAAGAUAGUGAUUGUAAAAUUGCAUUCUCGAAUUCGAUUAUGGUUACGGUAUCCCUUUCCAUAAUUUGAAUUGUGAGGUUUGGCAAUUAGUCUUAAUUGUUUAGACACACAUAUGAACUAUCGAAGGCAAAGGUGUAUAAGUUCAAGAAGCCUUGAUAAAGGAUUAUCAAAGCACUAAGUAUUAGAAACAUGAACUUAAGAAAUUCAAUAAGUAUUGUUUUUCUGAAAGUUAAGAUGUUUAUGAAUACAUGUCGAAGCUAGUGGGAGCAUAAGUGUUAUGUUUUAUAAUAAUCAUCAUGAUAGUGGGAGCAUAAAUGUUAUGAUUGUAUGAUUAUUAAGGCACGUAUUGCAAGUUGGCAAUAUUAAUUAUAGAAAACAAGAGUUAUACCUUGCAAAGUCGUAAGGGUUGUAAAGUUGUUUUGCUAUAAUUAAGGGAGAGAAUAUUAUGCUUCAUUUCAAAUCUAAAGGAUUAGGUUGAGAAAUGUUAAUAAAUUUAGUCAAAGGUACAUAGUGUGUUCUUAAAAUUUCGAUUAUGAUUACGGCAUCCCUCUUCACAAUUCGAAUUUUGAGAACAUAGCAAAUAAAACAUUAUGCGUCGUGUCCCAUACGCUUCGGGUAUAGGAUCGAUUGCAAAUGCUUUAAUGUUUGACCAUUCUAAAAUUUUCCAAAUGUCGAGCGCAUUUAGAGGGAAAAGGGACUAGAAUUGGUUUUGACUAAAAUAAUUAAACAACUAUCAAAGGACAAUCCAAAGUUCGACGAGGAUUGGUCGCUUGUGAGUAGUUGGAAGUAUAGUAUUGGAAAAUAUGGAAAUGUUUCCAUAUUGGAUGGACCAUAUCGACAUCAUUACGAAUAGAUAAGAUUCUAUUAAGAAUGAGUUGUCAUAUGGAACAUAUGGAAGUGUGUCCAUAUUGGGAAUUGAAUAUUGAGAAAUCUAUGACUAGAUUAGAAACUUCUAUGCAAAAGGAUGUUCAAAGAAUGUACUUUGAGUGAGAGACAUCACGUCUAUGGAAUUGUCUUGUAACAAUCUCCGAUAGAGGACUUUGUAAUAUCAUUGGCAAUAGUCUUUGUGACUUUGGUGCAGUGACAUUACGAAAGGAUAGUUGCAUAGAAUGUUAGAAUCUAGCAUAUUCUAUAAGUAGCAAGAAUUUGAUAUUCUUUAACUUAUGAAAAACGGAUUUGGAGUUGUGAAAUGAGAAGGAUUGGAAAUGUGUUCAAUGUGAUCUAUUUCACAAAGUAAGAACCAUAGGUAAACAUUGUGUGCAUGCUAGGAGCAUGGGACAAGUGUUGGAAUUCAAGUAAGAAGUUGAUUACCCGAAACGACAAAUAAUGAGUAAUCAAUAUGGUGAUAAAUAAAAGGUGUUUUAUUUAUACUCAAAGGUUUGAGGCCAUAUGGGAUUAGUAUUAUUCUUGUGUUUCACAUUUGCAUGUUUUGACUUCCAGAAUAAUUGAGUUUAUUAAGAAUAAUCGAAUUAUUCAAACGGGCCACAGUCGUUCAUAUGUUGGAAGUAGAUAUGAAUGAAGACUGUCGUGAAUUGGUGUGUGGAUUGUCUAAAAGAGUAUUAGACAUAAGCAAAUGUUUGCUGCAACGUUCAUGAGUGCUUAUGAAUGUGAUUUGAGCAUUGGAUUAAACCCACGCUCACUUGGAUCACUCCAUGAAUUGUAUCACGAGUGAUUGGUGAGACGAUAACAUCUUAUAUUCUUGAAACCGAGAUGUGUGAGUUGUAUCUUGCAAAUCGGUUGCACAUUGAUAAUAUGUAAACGCACUAGUAACUUGGUGUUAUAAAACAUAUUGUUGUGUGUGAUUCGGUGAGUGAGUGCAAGCAAGCAUUGUAUCAAAGUUUAUCCGUUCCUUUUAUCCAAAGUAGGAUAAAAGCGAUAUCUUUGGGCCCCUCGAUGGUUUAGUGAUGACAAACGUAAAUGCUCGGCCGGGCUAGGGCUAAUUUGAUUUGUUCAAUUAGUCAGUCGUCAUAAAUCGGAAAUCGAGAUAUAGUACAAAGAGAAUGAUUUGAAAUCAUAUCUCAUAUGAUAUCUAGAAUGGAGGAAUAUAUGAUCCCUUAUCUAAGGACACGCGUAUUUGAUAUGAUCAGAGUUGACAGCGGCUUUGGAAAGCUACGAUUGCAGAUCGGGAUCCGAAGUCAUACGCAGAAUAGUUAUUAGACUUAUCCAAGUGGGAGACUGUUGGAUUAGUGUCUAAGUCCAUAACUAUUUUGGUAUGUACUUGACCCGAUGGUGCAUGGUCCUUUUGGGUUGCCUUCACCAAAGCAACUUGAUUGGAGAAAUAAAUAGAAAGAGAGGAUAAUAUGAUUUAUUAAUAUGUUAUAAGAAUAAUAUAUUAAAGGAGAAAUCAUAUUUGUUUAAUUAAUAUUGGUCAAUAAUUAAUUGAGAAUUAAUUUUGUGAUCAAGUGUAAUUAAUUAAACUAGAGGGGCUGAUUUGUAAUUGUGUGAUAGUUACAAAAUAAGGUAAGGAUUAUCUUUUAUAUAUGGUGGACGAAUUUAAGGUUGGAAAGCCUUAGAAUUCGAGUAUGAUAAGGAUUCAUGGAUUAUCUUAUUGGUUGCUUAAUGGAUAAUCAACUAGAUAAGGAUAAUGACUGAAACCCUAUCUCUACACCUAUAUAAACACCCCUAGGGCCAUGAAUUCGUGUAUCCCUUCCCAAGAGGUCCCAAAUACGAAUUCUAACCUUCCUCCUCUCUCCUUAUACCUUCUCCACUUGCUUAUGGUGUUUGUAAGCCAUUAGAGGAGUGACACUUGUGACUCUUUGCUUUCCAAGGUCAAUUCAAGGAGGAAUUGGAUUGUUAUUGCUACAUAACAAUCAAGGUAUGUUCUUAAACCUAUUUACAUGUGAAUUCUGAUUUCCAUAUGCUAGAAUUAGGGUUCAAGUCUUGGAUUCAAAGUAUGUACAAUAGAGAAACCUAGAUCCGAGCUUUAGGGUUUGUAUGAGCACAUAGGAUGUCUUAUGACCAAAACCCAUCAGUAGUAUGGGCCCGUACUACAAAAAGCACAGGACCCAUACACGUGUCAAGUAAGUCACAAUCUCUAGGAUUAGUAGGGAGUUGGCUCCCAGCUAUUUAUAGGGAUUAUCUGAUAUUUUGUGGUAUGUUUAAGAAUGGUGAUGACGAGGCGCUUUGUGGUCGGAUCCGGUUCGGGAUCAGGAUCAGGGGACAGAGGCCAGGAGGGGUUGACAGCACCUGAGCCGGUGGUGCAGAUGGGUACAGAGGAGUUGGAUGCCAAGAUUCGAGAGAUCCUACAUGAUGAGGUUGCUGCUGCAUUUCGGGCUCAUUUACCGGAGAUGUUCGGGUCGAUUAAGACCGCCUUGGUGGAGUAUUUUGAUGAGUGCUACGCAGCCCUUGCAGAGACAGCCGCCGCAGCAGCUGCAUCAGCUGUAUCAGCGGCAUGGGGAGGAGUUGGUAGAGGUUUUUAGUACAGGGACUUCGAUAACACGAAGCCCCCUACUUUUGAUGGGACACAGGAUCCCAUCAAGGCUAUGAGAUAGAUUUUAGAUGUGGAGGGGUGUUUCUUCACUUGCUCGUGUCAUGCUGACCAGAAGGUCAGGUGUGCUCUGAACCUGCUUAGGUCUGGGGCCAAGGACUGGUGGAGACUGGCGACUGGGUCGUACGCUGAUGAUCAGAGAGCUACUGUUACAUGGGAGCAGUUCAGAGACAUGUUCAGCGCCCGUUACAUUCCGUGGGUUGAGCGGGAGUGGUUGGCAUAGGAGUUUCUGAGUUUGAGACAGGAUGGGGAGUCGGUGACGGAGAUCACCCGUAUGUUCACUGAGCGGGCGAUGUUCUGCCCAUAUUUUGCUUCUGAGCAGUCUCAGAUGACCCGUUAUCUUAGUAUGCUCAAGACUGAUAUCCGACAAUUUGUAUCUACCUAGCGAUGUGAUACUCUUUUAGAGUUACAGGAGGCCGCUAGACGGCGGGAGUUAGAGAUUGAGUUGCAGCUGAGGGAGCAGCGGUCGGCCUCGGCACAGUCACAGCUGGCGCUGAAGCGGUCAAAGACCGCUGAUUUGAGGUCUGGGAGUCAGCAGAGCCGCUCUUGUGGAAAGUGCGGCAGGGUUCAUUCCGGGAUUUGUCGAGCCAUUAGUGGGUGCCACAGGUGUGGCAAGGAGGGGAACUAUGCGAAGGAUUGUCUCCAGGCCGCUCCGAUACCGAGUAUGAAGUUAUGUUACCAUUGUGAUAAGGUUGGCCAUUUGAAGGCCAACUGCCCGUUACUCGCCACCAAACCGGCGCAGGCUCCAGCGCCGACUUCUUUGAGGAUCACGGAUGGGAGACCAGUCAAGGCAGAGCCUCCGAAGGCUCAGGGUCGUGCUUUCCAGCUUACAGCGGAGGAGGCCAGAGCAACACCAGAUGUGGUUGCUAGUACGUUUCUACCCUUUAUCUCGUUUUCUAUAUCUGUUGUACCUGUGAUUAGGUACGUUUUUAGUGAACUCUUUGCGUGCUUUUGUCUUAUUUGACUCGAGGGCGAGUCGGUCCUUCGUAUCUCAGUCUUUUAGUAGGGAGUUCAGUGCAUCAGCGGGCGAGUUAGAGUGUCCGUUGCGAGUAUCUAUCGCCAAUGAACACGGGGUUUCUGCUUCUUCAGUCUAUCGAGGGUGUGACUUGGAGAUUUUUGGGGUGUCCUUUCCGGUAGAUUUGAUUCCGAUUCCCAUGGGGGAGGUGUGUGUGAUUGUAGGCAUGGAUUGGCCUAGUCGGUUCAGUGCCAUGAUCGACUGUGAGGGGCAGCGAGUAGUAGUUCGAACCCCAAGUGGGGGAGAACUGGUGAUAUAUGGCGAGGACACCAGAGUGGGAUCAGGGUUUUGUUCAGCUGCCAGGGAUCGGCAGUACAUUCAGCACGGCUGUGCGGGUUAUCUAGCGUAUGUGGUAGAUACGCGGGUUAGGGAUCAGAUUUUGGUUUCC